GGAAUUCAGCUUUAUACGUAGAAGUUCAUUUAAAUUUGGUUCUAGCGAGUAGUUGUGCGCUGCUUCGCUCUGCUGCUGACGCCCUUGAGAUGCUCUUAGCUACUGUGCCCCAGACAGGACCGUACACCCUAUGAACCACCUUCAGGACGUGCGCCUUCUAUAAGGCGUGAGCUCCAGCCAUUGCCUGUUGACGGAGGCAUGUGCCGCAGCCUUGGAGACACAAGUACUUGCCUGCCACCGACGUAGCUGCGUUUUCAAAUAUGUUGCAAAUGCUCACCAUCUCAGUAGCAGGGGCAAACGUUUUUUGGUGUUACAUGUUGAACAACUGCUCGUGAAAGCUGAAACUCUUUUUCUGUGAA